rnacentral:rRNA from 1 species
UGGGGAAUAUUGGACAAUGGGCGAAAGCCUGAUCCAGCCAUGCCGCGUGUGUGAAGAAGGUCUUCGGAUUGUAAAGCACUUUAAGUUGGGAGGAAGGGCAUUAACCUAAUACGUUAGUGUUUUGACGUUACCGACAGAAUAAGCACCGGCUAACUCUGUGCCAGCAGCCGCGGUUAUACAGAGGGUGCAAGCGUUAAUCGGAAUUACUGGGCGUAAAGCGCGCGUAGGUGGUUUGUUAAGUUGGAUGUGAAAUCCCCGGGCUCAACCUGGGAACUGCAUUCAAAACUGACUGACUAGAGUAUGGUAGAGGGUGGUGGAAUUUCCUGUGUAGCGGUGAAAUGCGUAGAUAUAGGAAGGAACACCAGUGGCGAAGGCGACCACCUGGACUAAUACUGACACUGAGGUGCGAAAGCGUGGGGAGCAAACA